rnacentral:rRNA from 1 species
AGCAGCCGCGGUAAUUCCAGCUCCAAUAGCGUAUAUUAAAGUUGUUGCAGUUAAAAAGCUCGUAGUUGAAUUUCGGGAUCAAUAUGUCGGUCGUGCCAUCGGUACGCACUGGUAUCAUUGGUUUCUCCUUUCUGACGAACCAUGAUGUCAUUAAUUUGGUGUUAUGGGGAGUUAGGACUGUUACUUUGAAAAAUUAGAGUGUUUAAAGCAGGCUUUAGCUUGAAUACAUUAGCAUGGAAUAAUGAAAUAGGACGUUCGAACCUAUUUUGUUGGUUUCUAGGAUCAACGUAAUGAUUAAUAGGGAUAGUUGGGGGCAUUAGUAUUCAAUUGUCAGAGGUGAAAUUCUUGGAUUUAUUGAAGACUAACUACUGCGAAAGCAUUUGCCAAGGAUGUUUUCAUUAAUCAAGAACGAAAGUUAGGGGAUCGAAGACGAUCAGAUACCGUCGUAGU